UACGUAGGGGGCAAGCGUUGUCCGGAAUCAUUGGGCGUAAAGAGCGCGUAGGCGGUCCGGUAAGUCAGCUGUGAAAGUCAAGGGCUCAACCCUUGAAAGCCGGUUGAUACUGUCGGGCUAGAGUCCGGAAGAGGCGAGUGGAAUUCCCGGUGUAGCGGUGAAAUGCGCAGAUAUCGGGAGGAACACCUGUGGCGAAGGCGGCUUUCUGGGCCCUACCUGACGCUGAGACGCGAAAGCGUGGGGAGCGAACCGG
rnacentral:rRNA from 1 species